rnacentral:misc_RNA from 1 species
GUUGGGUUUAGUUCCAAUAUCUGAGUCUGGUUUAGUAGCUGACAGGUUGAAAUUCCUGCCCUCUUCUGUUGCCUUAGAAGAAGCUUGAACCAAGGAAAAAACUGAGUGAUUUGAUAGAGUUGGCACAGUACAGUACAACUACAAUCUAUAGCGAGGCUGCGAUCUUUCUUUUCUUCUCACUUUUUCUUCGAUUAACUUCCAUUGAAAAGGUAUCUGGAAAAGAGAUCUUGGGAGAAAUCCUCGCAUCAAAUUUAAGAAAAUACCAACUGAAAACUAACUACCAAGACUCUUGAGAGAGUCAGUCCAGCUUUGGAGGUUUUCUGUAGUGGGGUUGAGCUGGGAAUACACUAGUUUAUAAUAAUUGUCUUAUUGAAUUUGGAGGUUUUCUGGAAUUUAUGCCUUAGUUGGAUAGAGGCGUAAUAUAG